GAGGGUAUAGCUCAGUGACAGAGCUCAUGGUUAGCACACGGGAGGUUCUAGGUUCAAUCCCCAGUACCUCCA
rnacentral:tRNA from 1 species